GGAUAGAUCAGUUGGUAGAGCAUGAAGUUCUUAAUCUCAGGGUUGUGGGUUUGAGCCCCAUGCUGGGUCA